UCUAACUCCGUGCCAGCAGCCGCGGUAAUACGGAGGGGGUUAGCGUUGUUCGGAAUUACUGGGCGUAAAGCGCACGUAGGCGGAUUAUUCAGUCAGAGGUGAAAUCCCASGKCUCAACCCYGGAWCUGCCUUUGAUACUGMWAGUCUUGWRUWCRAGAGAGGUKARYGSWAUUYCGAGUGUAGAGGUGAAAUUCGUAGAUAUUCGGAGGAACACCAGUGGCGAAGGCGGCUCACUGGCUCGAUACUGACGCUGAGGUGCGAAAGUGUGGGGAGCAAACAGGAUUAGAUACCCUGGUAGUCCACACCGUAAACGAUGAAUGCCUGUCAUCGGGUAGUAUAUUCU
rnacentral:rRNA from 1 species